ACCACAUGAUGAUCAGAGUCUAAUGAAUUUGCAAUACUGACAAUCACCAAUUACAUGUGCGAUUGUAUGUUGACUCUUCUACACUUGAUCUGACC
rfam:Penicillium freii strain DAOM 242723 scaffold_125, whole genome shotgun sequence.